ensembl:lncRNA
GGAACGUGGCCCAGGUUACCACGACAAGUUAAAGGUACCGCCGCCUCCUUCCCUUCCCAUUGGUGGCCUUGUAAAGGGACUUGUGUUAUUGGUCAGUGAGGUUGUCUGUCUAAUGGAUGUGAUCAUGUUUAUAGUUGUACAGACUGACUCAAAUGUAUCUUUUAGUUUCAAAUAUGACAGAUUAGUUUGUUUGUUUUCAUGUCCAUACUGUAACCUGUUGUUGAUGACAAUAGUGUGUGUAUAGGUAUGCCAACACUGUAAGAUACGCCACCUCAUAGGGCUGAGAGACAGCUAGAGACUGACUCCAGAUGAGCGUUUCUCUCCUACCACGUCACACUGCCUUUUAUAUGACUGUAUAAAGAUCGACUGUCCUAGUUUCUCUAGCUCCGGAGAUUACGUGUCUGUCUUUCCACUGUGCCUCGCUCUGGCCUUGUACAGACUGACGCCUGGGCCCAGUUUCACAAAACCUUUUAGAAGACAUUUCUUAAGUGCCAUUUUUUUCCCUUAAUUUUAUAUGUAUUAAAAUGUGCUGUUCCUCAAUAAGGUUAUUGCAAAUGUCCUUAAGUUUCUUCCUAUGAAAAUAGUUUAAAAUACAUUUGAUUCUUGAAAAGGAAGUUAUUGGAUUUCUUCUUGUAAUUCCAAGAUGGCUAUAGUAAACACUUGUCUUAAACUCAUGGAAGUGAGAAAAUAAGCUAAUGAAAGCAAUUGAACAUGUUUAUUGAUUCUACUGAAACUUUCAGUUGGAUUUGUUUUAAAUCCAAUAAAACAUUUUAGACCAGUAAUCUCAGUAAGAAAUAUGCUAACAUGAUUGCCCUUGCUAGAUAGCUCUGUUGCCUAGCGACAAUCAUCUUAGGAAGAUAUUUAAGAAGUCCGUUUGAGUUCUUAUGAGCUUAUUUAUUUUUAAAAAGCUUAAGUUUUUGCAUAACUUUUGUAAAACUCUGCCCUGAUGCCUUAGUUGUAAUCUAAAACUGUUUACUUCCAUGUUUUAAAUGAUUAAACAACAAAAUCACUGUUUCACGGUUGGCCUUGUCAAUGAACAUAUGUUUCUUUCUCUAACAAUCUGCAUUUUUUUUUAAUAUGCCACUAAUUUUUACAAUAAAAC